rnacentral:rRNA from 1 species
UACGGGGGGGCAAGCGUUGUUCGGAUUUACUGGGCGUAAAGGGCGCGUAGGCGGCCUCUGCAAGUCGACUGUGAAAUCUCCGGGCUUAACCCGGAACGGUCAGCCGAUACUGCAGGGCUAGAGUGCAGAAGGGGCAACCGGAAUUCUCGGUGUAGCGGUGAAAUGCGUAGAUAUCGAGAGGAACACCUGCGGCGAAGGCGGGUUGCUGGGCUGACACUGACGCUGAGGCGCGAAAGCUAGGGGAGCGAACGGG